rnacentral:rRNA from 1 species
AUGGGGCGCGGCCGUCCCAAGAGGCGCCCUCCGAAGCCCUUCGAAUCGUCGGAGGACGAGGCGUUCCUGAUGCCGAUCGGCGCGGCGGUGGAGGUGCGCAGAGACGACCCCGGCUUCGCCGGCUCCUUCUACGAGGCCACCGUUGCCAGUCACCUGCUCUCCGACGGCGGCCACAGGCGCUACACGGUGGCCUACUCCACGCUCCUGGGCGAGGAGGCUGAGCCGCUCAGGGAGACCGCGGCCACCGCCAACGUGCGGCCGCGGCCACCGCCUGAGGAAAGGGAGUUCGUGAUUCACGAGAUGGUGGAGGCGUUCAACAGCGACGGGUGGUGGGCCGGCGUAGUCGCCGCCGUUGUCCCGCCAACGGUGACAGGAGAUCGCCGGCGGAGGGCGUACAGGGUCACGUUCCCCACGUUGCGGGAGACGCUGCAGUUCGAGGAGAGGGAUAUGCGGCCGCACCGCGUGUUCCAGGGUGGGCGGUGGGUCCCGGCUGCAGAGGUGGGCAAGGGAAGUCCUUUGUUCAGUGAGGGGCAUCAAGUUGAAGUGAGUCAUUUUGCAAGAAACUUUAGUGGAUCCUGGAAUCCAGCUACUGUUCUUAAAGUGAUUGGUGCUACACAUUUUCUAGUACAGUACAUGCAUAUUGGAAAGGAUGAUGAACCGGCCACUGAGAUUCUAGAUUCACAAUAUAUUCGGCCAUCACGCGACAUCACCAAUAUGGAUUCUAGGUACAGAUUUUCUCCUGCAUCUCAUGUUGAGGUCCUUCAUGAAGGUGGCUGGUGGCCUGCUAUUAUUGUGAAGGUUUUAGGUUCUGAAAUCAACAAGUAUGUAGUGAACUUGAAGAAUCCCAAGACAGACAUGGAUGACGUGGAACCUGUGGAUGUUCUGACGGUGGAAAGUACGCAGCUACGGCCACGGUUUGACUGGGACGGUAAAAACUGGGUACGCUGCUUGAAAAAGCCUUCGCUCCAAAAUUAUGUCCAUGAGAUGCAUCCAUUCCAGAAACCUUCUAAUGGUCCUCAAUUAACUUCUCGAAAAAGAGCAAUUCCCGCCUUCUAUGAUGACUUGGAUAAAGUCAGUAAUAAACCUGGUUCUCGUCAUGACAAAAAGUUGAAGGAUGAAGAUGUGACAUCAGAACAAAUUUUUCCUGUUUUGUCCAUUCGUAAUGAAAACAAUGAAAUUAUUCAUAAGCAAGGAACAGCAUUGGCAUUGAGGUCUGGGUUGUCCCUUCCUUCACUUCCACAAGUGGCGGCAUUUGGCUCUCUGAGUUCAUCUACACUUGCUCCAAGCUGUCAUCUUGAACAAUCAUCUUCUGAGAUGAUUAUUGUACCCUCUAUGGCACAAAGUCGACAGAUUCAGGCAUCUCUAUUUGGAGGUUUUGGUGAACCAAGACCUGUCCCACAGGGCCCACUAUUAGGAACGCGGUCACUUGGCUCAGAUUUUCGCAUCAUUGAAGGGUCAAAAAAUGCAUUAAGUGGUCAGGGUAACCAAUCAACUGUUGGAACUGGGACUGAACUGUCCAGGCAAAUGGAGAAAUGUGUUUCUUCUCAAACAACAGUGGCUCUAGGGGAGAACCCUGAAACUAUACAGCCAAUGAAAGGGAUAGCUGCUCCUGCUAAAGCUACUGAGGAAGACAUGUCUGAACUGCCUAAUGAUUUGACUGCUGGGUGUGAAACACUUCCAGAAAUGGAUGAGCUGAGUUGUAUUGACCCGACAUCACGAAAGGACAUCGGAGGUUCACAAGCAGGUGGAAGAGAUGAUCUUGAGCAAGGGGGCUACACAGGUGAAGCACAUGAUUCUUGCUGUCCCUUGUCGGAAUCAGCAGCUGUGCAUGAGAGUAUCAUGGACACGAAUGGCCGGAUUUCAGAACCCUUGGCAAGCCAGCAUCUUCCAUUUGUGAAGACCUCCCCAAUGUGGGCACACCUUGAGGGACUGGAAAUAUUCAGGAAAGCACCACAGCGACCAAAUUUCCAUCAGUUCGAGCAGCAUGGUCAAGAGGUCUGUGAAGGACUGGCAUUAGGUUUGAUGUUCUCUUUUGCUAUUUUAGCAGAGAGCAUAAACAGUCUGAAUGCUCUGGACGAUAGUAGACUACUCGAGCAGAAGAUGACGGGCCUUGCUUUGCUUGAGGCAGAUGGUUUUGAUGUCAAGGACCUGAGAGCACGCGUGGAAACAAUGCUCCAUGCAAAUAAUAGUUGCGCUGAACUACAGGAUUCCAUCAGAAAGCUGGAGGAGAAGAUUGCUCACAAAGAAACCAAGGACCGAGAACUUGGCACGCAAGUUCGGUCGCUGGCUAUGGCUGUCCAUCAUCACGAUCUACAUGCCUAUCUGAUGCGCAUCGUCAUGCGGUCUGCCAUCACGCAGAAGAUGAACAAUGCUAUGGAGAUCUCAAGGCUCAAGACAGAAGCGAACAAGCUUAAGAGAUCGUGUCUAUCCAACACCAUCGUCGUGCCACGGUGA